rnacentral:lncRNA from 1 species
GUGGGGGUGGGGUGGGGAUGUAGCAGCAGCAGCAGCAGGCAGUGGGGGCAUGUGUAACACGUGCAUAAAUUCCCAGCAGAUCCUACUUUCUUCUACUUCUUUUCUUCUUCUACAUGUUGGUGUUGUUGUUGUUUUCAUUCAUAUAUAUACAUACAUACAUACAUAUAUAUAUUCUCAUUUCAGUUGUUAUGUAAACUGGCUAUGUUGUCUUCAGAGAGAGGGCCUUGUUCAGUCUAUUUCUUCCAUGUUUAUAUUAUGACCUUGUUUAGGUUGGCAUCCCACACACCCCCCCCCCCUUUCCAUUCUCAGGUCACAUGGGUCAACAGAGCACGAGGAGUAUACAAGAAAGAGUAGUUGUGCUAUUAUAAGGUUUUGAUGGAAUAAAAUAUGGAAUUGGUUUUUUCCAGAAGCUUUUGACUUGAAUUGUGGGGUUUUGAAAGAUGGAAACCUGCGUGAGAAACUUUUCAUUAAAUUGUUUGACAGUUGCAUGCUUUUUGAAUUUUGGGGAUGGUUAGUGUGAUGAUUGAUUGCAGAUGUGGAUUUUUUUAUUCAUUUUAUUAAUUUCUUCAUACUCCAUAAUAAUAAUAAUAUUAAUAAUAAAUAUUAUUUUCAAUUACCACGAAUAUUAUUAUUAUAUAUCCACACAGAACAAGUACUCUUUUAAAAUGCAGAUACAGGAAAGAAUAACAGAUUUCAUCCAUUUUCAAAAUUUUAAAUACUUGCAGAAAAAAAAUAUUAUUAGUGAACAUCCAUUGUGCAGUGCAUGAGUGUGUGCAUGUUCCAACUUUGAUUUGAGCAGUGGUUUCAUGUGAUAUUUUGAUAUGUUACAUAUAAAAAAAAUAAUGAAAUAACAAACAGGAUCACGAAAAAGCCAACAUUCAUCACACAAAAUAGAGCAUUCAAACAAAACAUUACACAAUAAAUAAAGUGCCUGAUUCCUCAAACAUGAACAUAAUUUUGCAACUACCUUGUUAUAUAUAUAUAUAUAUAUAUAUAUAUAUAUAUGUAUAUAUAUAUACACAUAUUUACAUACUCAAAAAAUAUAGGUGUGGAGGCAAUAAGGGUGAUUACCAAGAACAAUAUGCAUGAUUUGUUUCAUGAGAGUCCCAAAGUUGAGGAUAAGCACAAUAAUAAGCACCUGCUUGUGUGACUCUUAAGUACACUCUUUUGUUCAACACCACAUACUGGAAAAGUAGAUUCUUUGAAAAUAUCUGAUGUUUAUCCCAACUGCUUUGUUUUAAAAUCCUUUCUCAAGCAUCUAACACCUUUUCUAAUGUGAAUAAUAUUACUGAAUGGGGAAACUACAACUGCACAUCAAAUGUUUUUGAACCAUCUUCAUUACAACUUGCAAAAUGCUUUUCACCCUCAUCCACUGGGUGACAUGGCUCCAUCCCACUUGAAGUAAUUGUAAUCGGAUCUUAUUCUCCUCUGAGCUUCACAAUUUGACAAGUUUGAUUUCUAUUUUCUCUUUUCUUUUUUUUAAAAUAAAAUUCACAAUAUAAAUUUUAUUUGAGAUAUUUAUUUAUUUAAUUAUUCUUUACAGGCCUAUUUAUUUGAGUGUGCUUUAAACUUAGUUCAUUGUUCAUUCUAUGAUAAAAAUAAAAAUAAAUGCAUCCAAUUCAGAAGAGCUCCAUGCCAAAAAUUGCAUAGAAAACAUUACAGAAAACUGUGAAUCUGGUGAGAUUUCUAAGUUCUGUGUUUCAACGUUUUUAGAGAACACAUAAUAUAUAAAAUUAGUAUUGGUUAGUUUCAAUCAUAAAAAUGAUAGUUCAGAAUUCUUAUUAUUUGUUAAGUUGUCAGUGCCACUAAAACUUAAAUUUGAUCCCUUGGGAAUUAAUUGUAAACUGUGGAUUCACCCUAAUUUAGAAUAGAGGAUUCGAAAAUUUGUAGCUUUGGGUUCAAUUAUUCCGAGGGAACGUUAGUGAAGGAUGCUGAUUGUUGCAUUUAUGCAGUACAGUGGAUAAAUUGUUAUUUAGUAUUAAAGUAUAUUCCGUUUUAAUUUUAUUUUUUUGGUAGAUAUCGGAUUGGAUUAUUGGGUUGUAUAAAUCUUUUAUGUUGAGCAUUCUUACAUUGAUCAUCCAAUUUAAAAGUAGACCAUUUCUACUUGUGAAGAAUGAGUGUAAAGCUACUUGUUUAAAAACUGGCUUCAAGUUUUCUCAAAAUGUCAUGUCUUUAUACCAGAAAAAUAAAAAAUUAUUCCCAAUAAAAUAAUAUCUCUUCCAAUCUGUUUAAAGUUAAUUUAAGAAUAUUGAAUUUUGGCAUUGUUCUACAGUUGUUAAAGAUACAUUUAUCAUUGAGGAAGAAAUAUAAGAGGAGGUUUACAUUGUAUAAAAUACAUCAUAUUAAUGCAAAAAAGAAUGUCUAAAGUUAGACACAAAUCAACUUAUUGUAUGUUUAUUGUUAAAUGCCAUUAUGGAUAGUAUCUCUGAUUGCUAAGUUUAGGUGAGUGACCUUAAUAUGUUAUAUUUAUUUUACUUUACUUUGCAACUGAAAUGUUGCUCGUGUCUGACUAAAAUCUUAUUUUGUAAUCAAAUCAAAUUCUAAUUUUAAAUUUUAUUUCUGACAAAUCCAAGAUUUUUGUUUUCCGUUUUGCCUCUUUUCCUUUUUCCAAAAAGAAAAAAACGCAUACUCCAUUAUGAUUUUAUUGAUAUGACACAGUCAUAGAUCAAAGCGUCAAUUAAAUACUGUGAAGCAUUUUUAAAUAUUAGUUAUUGUAAGGUAUUAAUCUGUGACAUGUGUUGCCUCAUUGUACUCAUCAAAUACAAAAUCAACUUGUGCUCUUACGAUAAAAUAGAUUAUAAAUCUUUACUUGGUCUUGUUUGGAAAAAUGCCUAUAUUUAGUAUGAAAUCCAUUGGAGCCUUUGUGUGAAAGUUUCAGAAACUUGGUGUUUGUGUAUAAAUAUUUUAAAAUAAUAAUCAAAUCAAGUUAAAUUAUUAUUUGAA